rnacentral:rRNA from 1 species
CAAUAGCGUAUAUUAAAGUUGUUGCAGUUAAAAAGCUCGUAGUUGAAUUUCUGUCAGGAGUGACCGGGCCUUUGGAUGAACUUCCAUUGUUUUUUGCUCUGUUUGUCAUCUCUAGACAUCCUGAAAUAUUUUUUAAAAAUAUUUCUCUUUUACUGUUAGCAAAAUAGAGUGUUCCAAGCAAAGCGUAGUUUUGAAUACAUUAGAAUGGAAUAAUAAGAUAGGACUUUGGUGCUAUUUUGUUGGUUUGCACACCAAGGUAAUGAUUAAUAGGGACAGUUGGGGGUAUUCGUAUUUAAUUGUCAGAGGUGAAAUUCUUGGAUUUAUGAAAGACGAACUACUGCGAAAGCAUUUACCAAGGAUAUUUUCAUUAA